GGAACGGAUUAACAUAUCGCUCAAGGUUUAGUAAAUUUAAAUGUAGCGCCAAGUAUUUCAGUAUUUGUUAUCGAUGUUGUAAAUCGUUAGAGAGAUCAUAUUGUAAAGCUAAAUGCGGUCACACGAAAUGGUGAAUUGUAAGCCAGAAUCUCCCGCUCAGAUUUAUUCCGAUUGGAGAGAUCAAAGAGACUGGGAGGCGAGACUGCGAAUAAAACAUCGUCGUUUGUUUAUGCUAUUGUUCUA